rnacentral:rRNA from 1 species
GUUUGAUCCUGGCUCAGGAUGAACGCUGGCGGCGUGCCUAAUACAUGCAAGUCGAACGCUUCACUUCGGUGAAGAGUGGCGAACGGGUGAGUAAUACAUAAGUAACCUGGCAUCUACAGGGGGAUAACUGAUGGAAACGUCAGCUAAGACCGCAUAGGUGUAGAGAUCGCAUGAACUCUAUAUGAAAAGUGCUACGGGACUGGUAGAUGAUGGACUUAUGGCGCAUUAGCUUGUUGGUAGGGUAACGGCCUACCAAGGCGACGAUGCGUAGCCGACCUGAGAGGGUGACCGGCCACACUGGGACUGAGACACGGCCCAGACUCCUACGGGAGGCAGCAGUAGGGAAUUUUCGGCAAUGGGGGAAACCCUGACCGAGCAACGCCGCGUGAAGGAAGAAGUAAUUCGUUAUGUAAACUUCUGUCAUAGAGGAAGAACGGUGGAUAUAGGGAAUGAUAUCCAAGUGACGGUACUCUAUAAGAAAGCCACGGCUAACUACGUGCCAGCAGCCGCGGUAAUACGUAGGUGGCGAGCGUUAUCCGGAAUUAUUGGGCGUAAAGAGGGAGCAGGCGGCACUAAGGGUCUGUGGUGAAAGAUCGAAGCUUAACUUCGGUAAGCCAUGGAAACCGUAGAGCUAGAGUGUGUGAGAGGAUCGUGGAAUUCCAUGUGUAGCGGUGAAAUGCGUAGAUAUAUGGAGGAACACCAGUGGCGAAGGCGACGAUCUGGCGCAUAACUGACGCUCAGUCCCGAAAGCGUGGGGAGCAAAUAGGAUUAGAUACCCUAGUAGUCCACGCCGUAAACGAUGAGUACUAAGUGUUGGGUGUCAAAGCUCAGUGCUGCAGUUAACGCAAUAAGUACUCCGCCUGAGUAGUACGUUCGCAAGAAUGAAACUCAAAGGAAUUGACGGG